UAGGGAAUCUUCGGCAAUGGACGAAAGUCUGACCGAGCAACGCCGCGUGAGUGAAGAAGGUUUUCGGAUCGUAAAACUCUGUUGUUAGAGAAGAACAAGGACGUUAGUAACUGAACGUCCCCUGACGGUAUCUAACCAGAAAGCCACGGCUAACUACGUGCCAGCAGCCGCGGUAAUACGUAGGUGGCAAGCGUUGUCCGGAUUUAUUGGGCGUAAAGCGAGCGCAGGCGGUUUCUUAAGUCUGAUGUGAAAGCCCCCGGCUCAACCGGGGAGGGUCAUUAGAAACUGGGAGACUUGAGUGCAGAAGAGGAGAGUGGAAUUCCAUGUGUAGCGGUGAAAUGCGUAGAUAUAUGGAGGAACACCAGUGGCGAAGGCGGCUCUCUGGUCUGUAACUGACGCUGAGGCUUGAAAGCGUGGGGAGCAAACAGG
rnacentral:rRNA from 1 species